AUACGGAGGAUGCAAGCGUUAUCCGGAUUUAUUGGGUUUAAAGGGUGCGUAGGCGGAUGAUUAAGCGUGAGGUGAAAUGCCACUGCUCAACAGUGGAACUGCCUCGCGAACUGGUUGUCUUGAAUGCUCCUGCCGUGGGAGGAAUGUGUGGUGUAGCGGUGAAAUGCAUAGAGAUCACACAGAACACCGAUUGCGAAGGCAUCUCACGAAGGGGUGAUUGACGCUGAGGCACGAAAGCGUGGGGAUCAAACAGGAUUAGAUACCCUGGUAGUCCACGCAGUAAACGAUGAGCACUAGAUGUCUGGCUAGAAAUAGUCAGGUGUCGAAGUUAACGCAUUAAGUGCUCCGCCUGGGGAGUACGCACGCAAGUGUGAAACUUAAAGGAAUUGACGGGG
rnacentral:rRNA from 1 species